AGCUGUGCAGAGAGAAAAAUACAUUGUAGGUUUGUAAUGUCAGUAAGUAAACUUUAUCAAUUGUACUAAAAUCAUAUACGACAGAAGCUGGCUUUCUUAUUUAGUUACUUCCUACUUUAAUGUGUAAAUACAAGUGAUUUUUCUACGUGUACAACCAAACGAGAUGGAAAGGAAAUUCGCAUGGUUAAUCGGCACGUUCGACAUUUGCGCACGUAGUUUGCCAAGUGCAUCGGCAAUGGGAACAGUUCAAUUGGCAUCGAAUCGACAUGGAUGUUGAAUGUCGACCUGACAGCGCCCUCCGUUCGAAUCCGAAUCGGAAUCGGAAUCGUAGUCACAGGCAGAUUCAGAGUCAGAGUCGGAGUCGAAUACGGAGUCAGAUGGCCCCGGUUACCCAGUUUUACGGCCCACACAUAAAACACACAUUACUUAAGCGUAAGCCCCGACGACGUCGCUCAGUCACAUCGCACUAAUUUGGUACAACUACUUUUUUUUUGUUUUUGUUUUUUACCCCCACCGAUUUCAGUUCAAUUCGAUUCGAUUCGAUUCGAGUCGUUUCCUUUCCGCUCGCUCACUCACAUGUGGCAGCCAGCCGGGCAGGGAGCUCAACUCUCAGGCUGUCAUUGAGACAUGGGAUGUAUAUCUAUCUGUCUGUCCGUCCAAGUCCAUCGGUCUCUUCUGUUCUCCGCCAGGCUGUUUGACGCUGAAGCGGCCCACACCUAGGCCAAAAGAACAUUGCUCAAUUAAACUGGUUUCGGUGCCACUGUGCGCUGCGUGAAACGUGAAUCGUGAAUGGUGGCGAAUCGACCACAAAUGCUUGGACAAAUAAACAAAACAAACGUUUCUGUCGCGGACUCCGUCGGCGGAUUAAUUGAUUAUUUGUCUGGGAAGACAGCGGACAAGAUGGUCUUGAAGAAGAUGGUCAAGAGGAAGAGGAGGCGGAUAUGAAUUCGGUCGAAACGGAAAUGUGGCCAGCAUAAACUGGCCCACCCAACGACAGUGGCAAAGUUAGUCAUUCGCCUCCAUUUGCAUGCGCUGCCAUUUCAGCCGGUUAAAGUUCAAGCAAUUAAGCCAAGCGACAGUUGACCAACUCGCCACUGCCAGAACAUUUCCUGCGGCAAUUAACCAAAAUAAAAAAAAAAAACAAAAUGCAAGAAAAGAGGCAACAAAAAACGGCGCAACUUGACAGGUUUUUGCACUGACAAUGACGACAAAAACAGAGAAACAGAGAAAACUGAGACCCAGCCCGCUGCAACUUACAUACAACUCAUUUAGUGUCAUUACGGGAGGAAGACGGGUAGAUGGGUAGAUGGAAAGACGGCUAUAUGGUAGAUGGUUAUAUGGCAACGACACUGUGGCUUUUAUGGCCAAGAGGGCGGCGGGACGCGGCGGCAGAAAAGCCACCCCGCUGGCACGAAGAAAAACACACACACAAUAUACUCGUACAGAGGGUAAUUGUCACACAUAUGCAGGCCAGGCCAGGCCAGGCCAGGAUGGCCAACAAAGAAAUCCUUGAAGUGUGACAGUAGGAAGCAAAGAAGCAGGCAGCAAACUAAAAGAAGGAAAGACUACGAAACACACACUCGACUGAGUGCAGUAAGUGCAAAGUAAAUGAAAGAUGAGCAGCAGGCCGAAAGGCCCAACCGGUUUAGCAUUUCAUUCAUGGGUUUCCAAACCAACUAGCCAGUCAGCCAGUCAGCCAGCCAUCCAGUCAUCCGUCGUUCUGGCCAGUGGUUAGUGGCCAAAUCGCCGGGAAGUUUGGGUGCCCAGGGGCAGCUGUAAUUGUCAACUGGUCCCACAAAUUGUACGCAAACUAAACUAACUGCUUAACCGCAAAGCGUACGUCCAUACUCGAUGAUGAAGAUGGUGAUGAUGAUGUCGAUAUGAGGGUUCCAAGGAGCACUUCCCCUACGGAUUUGCCUAUGUGCCUGCGGCUGUGCCUAUGCCAAAGUCGAUUCCUGGCCGCAAGCUAAGUGAGUAUGCUGGCCUGCAUUGGCCUCAAAAGCCUGCUAAUAGUUUUCGAGCAGGACGCAGGACCCAGAGAUGCCUGAAUUACUACUAAGGCUUUUGAGCUGCAGUUGGCUUUCAUUGGCCGCACUUCAUUUUCCCUUUCGCAGGACUCUGCCGUGUGACUGAGUUACUGUGCGAAAUGCAAGAGUUGGGCAUUCGCUUUAAAAAAAGAAAAGGAUUUAUACUAGUUGGCACAUUUCGAAACAUUUCCAUACUUCCAAAGUGUGUUUCGCGCAUCUCUAUCGUGAGUUGUUACGUGUGGCAAAGCCAAGCGAAGCGCAACGCCGGAUGUCGCACUAAUGGCAAACGCAACGCAACGCAAUCGCAACUCGAAGGUCCCGGCCCGUUUUAGCCCACUGCCAUUCGUGUUGGCCAUCGACUUGGGCAUCGGGCCUAGAUGGCCUGCUGGCUGCUUUGUAAGUUAAACUAUCUACAAGUCAUUAACUCAUACAAAGCCGGCAACUGUCGCAGAGGGUGAGAUGGUGAUGGUGAUGUUUGAGAGGCUGUGAGGCCUGGGUACACAAUCCAGAAUCGAGGGCCCAGUUGGCCAUGGUCCGGAGUUAAGUGAAGUGGCCUGGACCAACGCACAUUUGGCCCUUUGUUUUUCCUCUUUCGCUCCUUUUUUCCUGCGUGUGUGUGUUUGUUUUUUCAUGCUCACUCGCUUUCCUUAUCGAGACCAGUUUCCAGUUUAUUCGCUCACGCUGCCAGUUUCUGGUAACUCCAGCGCGUUAAUGGAAAAUAUUGUGGCAUAUCACAGGAAAUCCGGUGAGGUUUUUUCUCGUUCGUUUGCUGUUGCUUUUGGCCUUCUCCCGCCAGUGGUUGUUGUUCAUGUUGUUCUUCUUGUUGUUGUUGUCGUGUUGCUGGUGGCGGUAUGGUUGUGUGUGUGCACACUCCUUUUAGCCGGCAGGACACUUAGCCGGCAUCUACUCGCUUUGACAAAAUUAACGGGCACAUAAAUCUCCACUCUGGGUUUUGCGGCUUUGCGUUAUAAAUUUAAUUAAAUUUUUUGUUUGCGUUUUGUGUACUUUAUCUGCGCCUGUUAACCAACUUUUUUUCUCCUUUCGGUGGUUUUGCUAACUGCUCUCGGCAAGUGAACAAAUGUCUUUUAUUAUAUUGAUUAAAGCGGCUUUGGUGUGUCAAAUUUGUUGUCAGCCAUGUUAAGCGCGAGGCAAAGUGUUUCAAAUUGUUUUAAAUGGCAAGGGAAAGGAUUUCGGUACGGCCAUAACAAUUAUUUUCCACAUGUGUUCUAUAUGCGCUCUGAGCUGAGUUAGGAAGGCAAAGCGACUUACAUACUUGGCUAAAUGUGAGCCUAUCCGAUUUUCAGACGACACUUAAGCGGUUUUUAGCCACUCUGACGUCGCUGGGAUUUCUGUCUGUCCUCAUGGUGAUAUAAGCCAUAAGAUGCUUGGAGAGAGAGAGAGUGUUUUAAUGAAAUUGUGAUGAAGAGUGGAAUUCUUUUUCAGAAUUGGGAGAACUUCCAAAAAUUUAGGAUGAAUUUUGUCGUAAGAUCUUAAUCUCAAAACGAAAUACUCUUCUCGCUGCCUUCAAUGGCAAGCCAGUUACUAUCUCCAUCUGACUGAAACCCCAAAUGUCGGUGGCUUUGGAUGCUGCGCUUAUGGCCAAGUUUAUUGCUGACCCAGAACCGCCUUAAUCAUCGCCGGCAACCCGCAUACCCUCACUCGAGAGUGUCAACCGACGACCAGGCAUUUAAUGUGCGCCCUGGGCACGCUUAAUAAAUUCACAAUAAAACGCAUUUGAAUCACGCGAA